rnacentral:rRNA from 1 species
UACGUAGGGGGCAAGCGUUGUCCGGAUUUACUGGGCGUAAAGCGCGUGUAGGCGGCUACGCAGGUCCGUUGUGAAAACUGGAGGCUCAACCUCCAGACGUCGACGGAAACCGUGUGGCUAGAGUCCGGAAGAGGAGAGUGGAAUUCCUGGUGUAGCGGUGAAAUGCGCAGAUAUCAGGAAGAACACCAAUGGCGAAGGCAGCUCUCUGGGACGGUACUGACGCUGAGACGCGAAAGCGUGGGGAGCGAACAGGG